rnacentral:lncRNA from 1 species
AAUGAGCAGCACCCCCUGACACAAACGGAGGUUGGAGGACAGGCCAAUCGCUCCCAGCUAUUUGAGCCAAUGGAGAAGUUCCUGAUGCCCACACCUGCUGGUCUCACCGCUAGGGCCUGGGCAUCACAGGCAGGGGGAAUGGGGAGGGGACGGUAGCGUCAGCCUACACCCACACGCAGUUUCCUGAUAAAAGGUCCUUUGGAAACUUUGAUUCUCUUCUCACCAAGUUGAACGGAGAUGUGUUCCCAUAAACACCAUUUCCUGCAGCCUGAAAAGAAGACAGUAUAAUUGUUUGGCAGCAAGAGGCCAAGCAGGAAACUAGAGAUAUGGUGACGGUAGUGGUCCCAGGGAGGAGCUUUAACCUGAGCACCACCCACAGAAGGCAGACCACCCUCCCAGCCGCAGUGCAAAUGAAUGUUGGCCCCCACCCAGGUCCCCAAGUGCUUUCCCAGUCACGCCCCAGCUGCCAGGUUUUUUUCUCCAGGCCUACUACAGAUGGGUUACCCUGACUCCACCCCCAACACCCUCCAAUGAUUAGAACCACUGACUCCUCCCUCCCAUGCCUGCCUCCAUGGCAGGCCCCUGCAGAAACCAAACAUAGUCACCUUAGACUCUGGCAUACUGAGACCAGGGCUUGAUCCUGGCCCCCUUGCCUCCCUGGCAAUUUAUCAUUUAAUAAAAAUAUUGUUAAAAAA